CGCAAGCCUGACGGAGCAAGACCGCGUGGGGGAGGAAUGCCUUAGGGUUGUAAACCCCUUUUAUCUGGGAAGAACAAAAUGACGGUACCAAAGGAAUCAGCCUCGGCUAACUCCGUGCCAGCAGCCGCGGUAAUACGGAGGAGGCAAGCGUUAUCCGGAAUGAUUGGGCGUAAAGCGUCCGCAGGUGGCAAUGUAAGUCUGCUGUUAAAGACAGUGGCUCAACUACUGAAAGGCAGUAGAUACUGAAGGACUAGAGUGCGGUAGGGGCAGAGGGAAUUCCCGGUGUAGCGGUGAAAUGCGUAGAUUUCGGGAAGAACAUCGGUGGCGAAAGCGCUCUACUGGACGGCAACUGACACUCAGGGACGAAAGCUAGGGGAGCG
rnacentral:rRNA from 1 species